rnacentral:rRNA from 1 species
GAGUGGCGAACUGGUGAGUAACGCGUGGGUGACCUGCCCCGAAAACGGGGAUAACCGUUGGAAACAACAGCUAAUACCCGAUAUACUCGGUGAUUCGGUUCAUCUAGUAAAGGCUCCGGUGCUUCGGGAUGGGCCUGCGGCCUAUCAGCUAGUUGGUGGGGUAAUGGCCCACCAGGGCGAAGACGGGUAGGGGGCGUGAGAGCGCGGCCCCCCACACUGGCACUGAUAUACCGGCCACACUUCUUCCGAAGGCUUCACUCUGGGAUAUUGCACAAUCUGCUAAAGCCGGAUGCAUCGACACCGCGUGGGCGAUUAACGCCUUCUGGUUGUAAAGCCCUUUUAUGGGGGAAGAGACAAGGACGGUACCCCUGAAUAAGCGUCGGCUAACUACCUGCCGGCACCCGCGGUAAAACGUACGACGCAUGCGUUAUCCGGAUUUACUGGGCGUAAAGAGCGUUGAGGCGGUUCCGUAAGUUGGGCGUGGAAGCCGCGGGCUUAACUCGGGGAGGUCGUUCAAUACUGCUGGACUUGACUCCCCAGAGGGAGGCGGAAUUCCCGGUGUAGCGGUGAAAUGCGUAGAUAUCGGGAGGAACACCAGUGGUGAAGGCGGCCUCUUGGGCUGUUUCUGACGCUGAAGGUGAAAGCUAGGGGAGCGAACGGGAUUAGAAACCGCGGUAGUCCUAGCCGUAAACGAUGGAUGCUGGGUGUGCAGGGUAUAGAUCCCCUCCGUGCUGAAGCUAAUGCGUUAAGCAUCCCGCCUGGGGAUUACGGCCGCAAGGCUUAAACUCAUACGAAUUGACGGGGGCCCGCACAAGCAGCGGAGCGUGUGGUUUAAUUAGAUGCUACACGAAGAACCUUACCUGGGCUUGACAUGUAGGUAGUAGUGAAGCGAAAGCGGAACGACCCUUCGGGGGGCCUACACAGGUGCUGCAUGGCUGUCGUCAGUUCGUGCCGUGAGGUGUCGGGUUAAGUCCCGUAACGAACGCAACCCUUGCCCUUUGUUACAUGUGUUUAAGGGGACUGCCCGGGACAACUGGGAGGAAGGUGGGGAUGACGUCAAGUCAGCAUGGCCUUUAUGUCCAGGGCUACACACACGCUACAAUGGCCGGUACAAUGGGUCGCCAAGCCGUGAGGCGGAGCCAAUCCCCCAAAGCCGGUCUAAGUUCGGAUUGUGGGCUGCAACUCGCCCAUAUGAAGCUGGAGUUGCUAGUAACCGCGUGUCAGCAAUAGUGCGGUGAAUACGUUCCCGGGCCUUGUACACACCGCCCGUCACGUCAUGGAAGCUGGCAACACCUGAAGCCAGUGAGCUAACCCGCAAGGG